UCAGGACGAACGCUGGCGGUAUGCCUAAUACAUGCAAGUCGAACGCUGAAACACUCUGCUUGCAGAGUGUGGAUGAGUGGCGAACGGGUGAGUAACACGUGGGGAACCUGCCCAUAAGAGGGGGAUAACAUCCGGAAACGGGUGCUAAUACCGCAUAGGUGAUCAUAGCGCAUGCUUAGAUCAUUAAAGAUGGCUUCGGCUAUCGCUUAUGGAUGGCCCCGCGGCGUAUUAGCUAGUUGGUGAGGUAAUGGCUCACCAAGGCUGUGAUACGUAGCCGACCUGAGAGGGUGAUCGGCCACACUGGAACUGAGACACGGUCCAGACUCCUNNNGGAGGCAGCAGUAGGGAAUCUUCCACAAUGGGCGAAAGCCUGAUGGAGCAAUACCGCGUGAGUGAAGAAGGUCUUCGGAUCGUAAAGCUCUGUUGUUAGAGAAGAACAAGAGGUGUAGUAACUGGCACCUCCUUGACGGUAUCUAACCAGAAAGUCACGGCUAACUACGUGCCAGCAGCCGCGGUAAUACGUAGGUGACAAGCGUUGUCCGGAUUUAUUGGGCGUAAAGCGAGCGCAGGCGGUCUUUUAAGUCUGAUGUGAAAGCCCACGGCUCAACCGUGGAGGGUCAUUGGAAACUGGAAGACUUGAAUGCAGAAGAGGAAAGUGGAAUUCCAUGUGUAGCGGUGAAAUGCGUAGAUAUAUGGAGGAACACCAGUGGCGAAGGCGACUUUCUGGUCUGUAAUUGACGCUGAGGCUCGAAAGCGUGGGGAGCGAACAGGAUUAGAUACCCUGGUAGUCCACGCCGUAAACGAUGAGUGCUAAGUGUUGGAGGGUUUCCGCCCUUCAGUGCUGGAGCUAACGCAUUAAGCACUCCGCCUGGGGAGUACGGCCGCAAGGCUGAAACUCAAAGGAAUAGACGGGGACCCGCACAAGCGGUGGAG
rnacentral:rRNA from 1 species